GUCCAAUGCAAAAUCAUGCCCGCUCCUUGUCCCCUGCCUUAGGUGAAACAGUCGUUCAACUCUGCCUAAUGGUCCAACGCCGCGUUUCCCUCACUCCAUACGGCGUUGGCCCACUCCAGGACUUAGCCUGAGAGGCCGGAGACGAGGGCGGACACGCUCUCACAUCCCGAAGGAGCCGGGUGGACGGUCGCCAGGUAGAGCUCAAGCUGGAGUAGGAACCCCUGGCAUCCGGCCACCGUCCCAUCAUACUCCCUCGGAAGUGCGAGCCGAAUCCCGCUGGAACCGGGUGAAGGAGGGGUGGACAGUGGGACCUGCUGUAGUGGGGAUGUUGGAGGCGCUGGACGACCUCCUCCUCUCUCCCAACGAUCCAUCUUCUGCAGCACUCGAUCCAUGGCGGUUGCAAUAUGGUCACGUGCUGCUGGACACGCUCCUCUAUCUCCACAGGGAGGGGGUCUGCUCCUGCUGACUCCAUUCUUUUGGUUGUAAAGUUAAGCAACUUAGAGCAGAAAAACAAACAUCGUCAAGGGUCUGAAGCACCCAGAGACCCAGGAAGGAAUCCGAGGAGCCGGCCAGGAGCCACCUGCCACAUGGAGUCCAUCCAUCUACAAAACACAGGGCUGUCUAAGGCAUCACAAUAACAUGAGUUUUGAACAAUUACCUUUUCUUUUUAUUAAGAUCUAGGGUAGACCCAUUUGUCACAUAUUUGUGUUUAUUGAACAGGACAGAGGUAUCGAGGAAAGAGAAAGGAGAGAAUUUCUGAAAGAGCUCUAAUAGGCUGAGUCAGAAGCUCAGACUGCUAGACUACUCUAGGGCCC
ensembl:lncRNA